GUUGUAUUUACAGUACCUAGACAGGACAGAACAGGUUGUAUUUACAGUACCUAGACAGGACAGAACAGGUUGUAUUUACAGUACCUAGACAGGACAGAACAGGUUGUAUUUACAGUACCUAGACAGGACAGAACAGGUUGUAUUUACAGUACCUAGACAGGACAUAGGACAGAACAGGUUGUAUUUAUAGUACCUAGACAGGACAGAAAAGGUUGUAUUUACAGUACCUAGACAGGACAGAACAGGUUGUAUUUAAAGUACCUAGACAGGACAGAACAGGUUGUAUUUACAGUACCUAGACAGAACAGAACAGGUUGUAUUUACAGUACCUAGACAGGACAGAACAGGCUGUAUUUACAGUACCUAGACAGGACAGAACAGGUUGUAUUUACAGUACCUAGACAGGACAGAACAGGUUGUAUUUACAGUACCUAGACAGGACAGAACAGGUUGUAUUUACAGUACCUAGACAGGACAGAACAGGUUGUAUUUACAGUACCUAGACAGGACAGAACAGGUUGUAUUUACAGUACCUAGACAGGACAGAACAGGUUGUAUUUACAGUACCUAGACAGGACAGAACAGGUUGUAUUUACAGUACCUAGACAGGACAGAACAGGUUGUAUUUACAGUACCUAGACAGGACAUAGGACAGAACAGGUUGUAUUUACAGUACCUAGACAGGAAAAAGGCAAUGUCUAACAUAGCUGUAUUACCAGAGAGGAGCCAAUGCGAGAACUCAAUUCAAUACCAUUUGAUUUGUAUUGGAGGUAGA